rnacentral:rRNA from 1 species
AACGAACGCUGGCGGCAGGCCUAACACAUGCAAGUCGAGCGCCCCGCAAGGGGAGCGGCAGACGGGUGAGUAACGCGUGGGAAUCUACCUAGUGGUACGGAAUAACCCCGGGAAACUUGGAGUAAUACCGUAUACGCCCGAAAGGGGAACGUUUUAUCGGCAUUAGAUGAGCCCGCGUUGGAUUAGCGAGUUGGUGGGGUAACGGCCCACAAAGGCGACGAUCCAUAGCUGGUCUGAGAGGAUGAUCAGCCACACUGGGACUGAGACACGGCCCAGACUCCUACGGGAGUCAGCAGUGGGGAAUAUUGGACAAUGGGCGCAAGCCUGAUUCAGCCAUGCCGCGUGAGUGACGAAGGUCUUCGGAUUGUAAAGGUCUUUUGGCGGGGACGAUAAUGACGGUACCCGCAGAAUAAGCCCCGGCUAACUUCGUGCCAGCCGCCGCCGUAA